GCGGUCGUAGCUCAGUUGGUAGAGCGCCAGGUUGUGGUCCUGGACGUCGCGGGUUCAAGUCCCGUCGAUCGCCCCA
rnacentral:tRNA from 1 species